GUGCCAGCAGCCGCGGUAAUACAGAGACUGCGAGCGUUAUUCGGAUUCACUGGGCGUAAAGGGUGCGCAGGCGGCCGUGUGUGUCAGGUGUGAAAUCUCGAGGCUUAACCUCGAAAUUGCGCCUGAAACUACACGGCUAGAGUACUGGAGAGGGAAACGGAAUUCACGGUGUAGCAGUGAAAUGCGUAGAUAUCGUGAGGAACACCAGAGGCGAAGGCGGUUUCCUGGACAGUUACUGACGCUCAGGCACGAAAGCGUGGGGAGCAAAAGGGAUUAGAAACCCUCGUAGUCC
rnacentral:rRNA from 1 species